GCCAGGAUAGCCAAGUGGACAACGGCGCUGGUCUUGAAAACCAGUUCCUAUAUGGAUCCGGGGUUCAAAUCCCCGUCCUGGCU
rnacentral:tRNA from 1 species